rnacentral:tmRNA from 1 species
GGGGUCGACUGGUUUUGACAGCGAGAUCUGUGAAACCGUAAGCAUGUCGCGUCAUGAAAUUACACGCGUAAAUCUUGAUUUCAAACUUUUAAACGGCGAAAAUAAUUACGCUUUAGCUGCUUAAUAUCUGAAUUAUAGUAAGAUCAAGCCUCGGCACACCAGGUGUGUAAGCUAAAUGUCUCUAGAACGCCUUGGUUUAUGGCUUUCUGCCAAGAGGCAUCGUUAAAGUAAACCUAGAAAAUGUAGGGUUUCGAUACAUUUUUGAAUUUUAGAAACUAAGUUUAGUAUGGGUUGUUUUUUGCCAGUACUUUAUCUAAAACCUAAGGAAAAACUAAGCAUGUAGAAAGCGCUUUGACAGCUUGUUUGGACGAGGGUUCGAAUCCCUCCGACUCCAC